rnacentral:tRNA from 1 species
GUCUGGAUAGCUCAGUGGUCUAGAGCAGUUACCCGGAUAGUGAAAAACUCGGGUUCGAUUUCCGAUCCAACCA